AUGGAUUUAGAUUUGGCAUGUGUUUAUCUUGACUGCUUAGGGUGGACGAAUUGUAGUUUUAUGCAUGUAACUCAGUCUGCUUUGACAACACUAGCAUGUUACUAUGUACUCCCUCCGUCCGAAAACUUGUCAUCAAAAUGGAUAAGAAGGGAUGUAUAUGUAACUAAAAUACGUAUAGAUACACCCCCUUUUAUUCAUUUUGAUGACAAGUAUUUUCGGACGGAGGGAGUACUACUAUUGUUCAAGAAGUUUCAUGAGUUGCAAGUGCUGCACUUCUCUAGUUUCAUUGAUGGUGUUUAA
rnacentral:rRNA from 1 species